AUUGAACGCUGGCGGCAGGCCUAACACAUGCAAGUCGAACGGUAACACGGUAAGACCUUCCUCUUACCGGUCGCGAGUGGCGGGCGUGUGAGGUGUACAUCGAACUGUAUGUUUUCGGGGGAGAACUCGUGGAGACAGUUACUAUAACAGCGCAUCCUCGCUACGCCAAAAAGCAGGGGAUUUUGGCCCCUUGCGCGCGUGUGUGCCCCGAUGUCGGAUUAGCUAGUUGGCGGGGUAAAGGCCCACCAAGGCGACGAUCCGUAGCUGGUCUGAGAGGAUGAUCAGCCACACUGGAACUGAGACACGGUCCAGACUCCUACGGGAGGCAGCAGUGGGGAAUAUUGGACAAUGGGCGCAAGCCUGAUGCAGCCAUACCGCGUGGGUGAAGAAGGCCUUCGGGUUGUAAAGCACUUUUGGUGGGAAAGAAAAGCAGAAGGUUAAUACCUCGGUGUACUGACGGUACCCGAAGAAGAAGCACCGGCUAACUUCGUG
rnacentral:rRNA from 1 species